rnacentral:rRNA from 1 species
AUUGAACGCUGGCGGCAUGCCUUACACAUGCAAGUCGAACGGCAGCACGGGAGCUUGCUCCUGGUGGCGAGUGGCGAACGGGUGAGUAAUGCAUCGGAACGUGCCCUGAAGUGGGGGAUAACGUAGCGAAAGUUACGCUAAUACCGCAUAUUCUGUGAGCAGGAAAGCAGGGGAUCUUCGGACCUUGCGCUUUUGGAGCGGCCGAUGUUGGAUUAGCUAGUUGGUGGGGUAAAGGCUCACCAAGGCAACGAUCCGUAGCGGGUCUGAGAGGAUGAUCCGCCACACUGGAACUGAGACACGGUCCAGACUCCUACGGGAGGCAGCAGUGGGGAAUUUUGGACAAUGGGCGCAAGCCUGAUCCAGCCAUGCCGCGUGAGUGAAGAAGGCCUUCGGUUGUAAAGCGUCUUCGGUUGGGUAGAAUUAGCUUGGUUAAUUACCCUAGAGUAGAUGAC